GACAGAGGCCCCGAGCGUUAGGCGGAAUCACUGGGCUUAAAGCGUGUGUAGGCGGACCCCUAAGUGUCUUGUGAAAUCCCACGGCUCACCCGUGGAACCGCUGGCAUACUGGGGUCUUGGCCGUUCAGGGCGACUGGAACAAGCGGUGGAGCGGUGAAAUGCGUAGAUAUCGACUUGGAACGCCGGAAGUGAAAACAGGUCGCUGGGGACGCGCCGGACGCUGAGACACGAAAGCCCAGGGGAGCGAAACGGG
rnacentral:rRNA from 1 species